rnacentral:rRNA from 1 species
CUCAGAACGAACGCUGGCGGCGUGCCUCAGACAUGCAAGUCGAAUGUCCGCAAGGACAUGGCGAACGGGUGAGUAAUACCUAGAAACGUAUCACAAGUUGAGCAUAACCAGCCGAAAGGUUGGAUAAUUCUCAAUGUGGAAGUAAUUCUAAAGUCGCAAGACGCUUGUGAAGCGGCCUGGGCACCAUCAGCUAGUUGGUAGGGUAAAGGCCUACCAAGGCUAUGACGGUUAGGGGCCCCGAGAGGGGAAACCCCCACACUGGAACUGAGACACGGUCCAGACUCCUACGGGAGGCAGCAGU